rnacentral:rRNA from 1 species
UGGGGAAUAUUGCACAAUGGGGGAAACCCUGAUGCAGCGACGCCGCGUGAGCGAAGAAGGUUUUCGAAUCGUAAAGCUCUGUCCUAUGGGAAGAUAAUGACGGUACCAUAGGAGGAAGCCCCGGCUAACUACGUGCCAGCAGCCGCGGUAAUACGUAGGGGGCAAGCGUUGUCCGGAAUCACUGGGCGUAAAGGGUUCGCAGGCAGAAAUGCAAGUCAGUUGUGAAAGGCAGAGGCUCAACCUCUGUAAGCAAUUGAAACUGUAUUUCUUGAGAUGUGGAGAGGCAAGUGGAAUUCCUAGUGUAGCGGUGAAAUGCGUAGAUAUUAGGAAGAAUACCGGUGGCGAAGGCGACUUGCUGGACACAAACUGACGCUGAGGAACGAAAGCGUGGGUAGCAAACAGG